UGGUAAAAACAACCAAGAGUUCCAGAUGGGGCAAUCGGAAGAGAAACAUGCUGAAGAUGAUAAUGAGAAAGUUCUGGAUUCUCUCAACUGGGAGUCCCAUGUCCUCACCUGUGGCUUCCAAACACAAUCACUGUUCAAGUCUUGUGCAAAGCAGCAUGCCAUGAGGAAGUUCUUCAUUAUCAGGGAGUGUUCGACCAAACCAGAGAAGAUCCUUGUCGUGAAGAGUUCAGGGGAAACGUCACAGAGCUCUUCGCUGUUAAGUGGGAGGUCAUGAAGAGUGUGGAGCCUGGCUGCGGUGCUGAUAUGUGUGAUAGGUUGGUGGAAAGAAGACAAGCCUGUGAGAGAUGCAGCAUGGUGGUGCAUUUGAGAAAAAUGAGCCGUCUGCCCAGUGUGCUGAGCUCCCCCUAGUGCAGCAGGCAGGCAGCUUUUGGAGGCCUGGCAGAUGUCACCUGGACCAGCAUUCCCACUUCUGCACGUGUGGCCGUCAUCCCCUGCAUGGUGCAGCAUGCCGUGUCUGCUGUGUUUUGCAGUGAGCUCCCUCUCUGUCACUGACAGCACCUUUCAGCCUUGACAAAACACUUGGAAGCAUCUGCAAGCCCUUCAGCAGCAGAGGAACGGACUGACAGAUGUAAUGAGAAGGAGCAAGAUGUGCAGAUCAUGGCCUCCUAUCUGCUGAGCUGCUUCUGAGCGCAGCAAAUCCUGCUGACCACCAUCAGCCAUGGUAGCUGCUUCGCUAUCCCAGGAAUGUAGCUGGAGAAGUGAGUACCAGGAGGAGACAGUGGCAGCAAGAGGGGUCAAGUCCCUUGGCUGAAUGCACAGCUGUUUGGCCUCUGCUAUUGCUUGCAA